rnacentral:rRNA from 1 species
UAAAGCGUAAAAGAGCGUAGAGUGAAUGCCUUGGCAUUGGGAGCCGACGAAGGACGUGGUUAACUGCGAAAAGCUACGGGGAGUCGUAAGCAGACAUUGAUCCGUAGAUGUCCGAAUGGAGCAAUCCGCAUGGAGUUAGUCCAUGCAUCCAUAAGUGAAUUCAUAGCUUAUGGAGGGGAACCGCCUGAACUGAAACAUCUAAGUAGGGCGAGGAAGAGAAAUCAAACGAGAUUCCGCUAGUAGUGGCGAGCGAACGCGGAAGAGGCCAAACUGAGAGCAGCAAUGUUCUCAGGGUUAGGACUGCAUUUAGCAUUGACAAAGGUUAGCUGAACUGCAUGGGAAGGCAGACUGGAAAGGGUGAGAGUCCCGUAAGCGAAAACCAAAGUCAGCGAGCAGUAUCCAGAGUACCGCAAGACACGUGAAACCUUGUGGGAAGAUGGGGGGACCACCCUCCAAGCCUAAAUACUACCCAGUGACCGAUAGCGUAUAGUACCGUGAGGGAAAGGUGAAAAGAACCCCGGGAGGGGAGUGAAAGAGAACCUGAAACCCUGCACUUACAAGCUGUAGGAGCACAUUAUUUGUGUGACUGCGUACUUUUUGUAGAACGGGCCAACGAGUUACGUUGUGUAGCAAGGUUAAGCACUUAAGGUGUGGAGCCGUAGCGAAAGCGAGUCUUAAAUGGGCGUCUAGUUACCCGACGUAGACCCGAAACCAGGCGACCUAUCCAUGAGCAGGUUGAAGCGAAAGUAAAAUUUCGUGGAGGACCGAACCCACGUACGUUGAAAAGUGCGGGGAUGACUUGUGGAUAGCGGUGAAAUUCCAAUCGAGCCUGGAGAUAGCUGGUUCUCCCCGAAAUAGCUUUAGGGCUAGCCUCAAGCUUAGAGAAACGGAGGUAGAGCACUGAAUGUCCUAGGGGGUAUUGCACUUACCGAAGACUAUCAAACUCCGAAUGCCGUAUUCUUUUGCUUGGGAGUCAGACUAUGGGUGAUAAGAUUCAUAGUCAAGAGGGCAACAGCCCAGAUCGUCAGCUAAGGUCCCUAAAUGUAAGUUAAGUGGUAAAGGAUGUGGAAUUGCACAGACAACCAGGAUGUUGGCUUAGAAGCAGCCACUCAUUUAAAGAGUGCGUAAUAGCUCACUGGUCGAGUGAUUCUGCGCCGAAAAUUUCCGGGGCUAAAACUUACUACCGAAGCUACGGCAUCAUUAUGAUGGGUAGGGGAGCUUUCUAUACGGGUUGAAGCAUGACCGUAAGGACAUGUGGACUGCAUAGAAGUGAGAAUGUUGGCAUGAGUAGCGAGAUGUGGGUGAGAAUCCCACAGGCCGUAAACCCAAGGUUUCCAGGGGAAGGUUCGUCCGCCCUGGGUUAGUCAGGACCUAAGCCGAGGCCGAAAGGCGUAGGUGAUGGACAACAGGUUGAUAUUCCUGUACCACCAAUAACCGUUUGAGAAAUGGGAUGACACAGUAGGAUAAGCUAACCGCACUGUUGGUUAUGUGCGGGCAAGUAUUGAGGCAGUUCCGAUAGGCAAAUCCGUCGGAAUAAUGCUGGGGUACGAUGCGGAGCGAAAUUUAGUAGCGAAGUAGCUGAUUUCACACUGUCGAGAAAAGUCUCUAUCGAGGUUAAAGGUGCCUGUACCGCAAACCGACACAGGUGGGUGAGGAGAGUAUCCUAAGGCCAGCGAGAGAACUGUUGUUAAGGAACUCGGCAAAAUGACCCCGUAACUUAGGGAGAAGGGGUGCCUUCGAAAGAAGGCCGCAGAGAAUAGGCCCAAGCGACUGUUUACCAAAAACAUAGGUUUCUGCUAAGUCGCAAGACGAUGUAUAGGAGCUGACGCCUGCCCGGUGCUGGAAGGUUAAGGGGAUCUGUUAGAGCAAUCGAAGCAGUGAACUUAAGCCCCAGUAAACGGCGGCCGUAACUAUAACGGUCCUAAGGUAGCGAAAUUCCUUGUCGGGUAAGUUCCGACCCGCACGAAAGGCGUAACGAUUUGGGCACUGUCUCAACAACAGACUCGGUGAAAUUGUAAUACCGGUGAAGAUGCCGGUUACCUGCGACAGGACGGAAAGACCCCAUGGAGCUUUACUGUAGCUUGACAUUGAGUCUCGGUGCUACAUGUACAGGAUAGGUGGGAGACUAUGAAGCAUGGACGUCAGUCUGUGUGGAGUCAUCCUUGGGAUACCACCCUUGUAGUACUGGGAUUCUAACCAGAGGCCAUGAAUCUGGUCUUGGGACACUGUCAGGUGGACAGUUUGACUGGGGCGGUCGCCUCCCAAAAAGUAACGGAGGCGCUCAAAGGUUCUCUCAGUACGGUCGGAAAUCGUACGAAGAGUGUAAAGGCAAAAGAGAGCUUGAUUGCAAGACAUACAGGUCGAGCAAGGACGAAAGUCGGACUUAGUGAUCCGGUGGUUCCGCAUGGAAGGGCCAUCGCUCAACGGAUAAAAGCUACCCUGGGGAUAACAGGCUGAUCUCCCCCAA